CGGUGAUGGUUAUGGUUAUUGUGUUUUGGUGUAGUGAUUGUUUUAAUGUUUUAGAAUGCAAUUGUGCAAAUAUUUGUGUCCAUAUUCAGUUGUAAAGCUUUUUUUUUCCCCUUCCAUCAUUGUGCUUGUUUGACGCUAAGCCACUCAUCCCCCAGAAACAGUGUUGACAUGAGGCAGAUCAGAUGGCCGGCCUUCCUGGUGACCAGAUUUCAGGACAGCAAGCAUCCCGGCCAGACCCCAGGGUGGAAAGUCCUCGAAAGCAAGGAUCCUGGCUCUCGGCUCUGUGUCAGCUCUGUGUAUACAGCACAGGGCUUGGCACACCGUAGGUGCUUGGUGAACAUCUGGGGAAUGAAAGAUACCUUGCAGAUUCAUAUAAAUGCCUCACCUGUGCCUCAUAGUUG
rnacentral:lncRNA from 1 species